GUGACGUCUGAUGUAUAUGCGAAGUAGAGGGUCUGCACAUCCAAGCCUCCAUGAAAGAUUGUUUCAGAUUUUUAAAGAUUUGACCUCUGAUUUUACUGCUAAUUAAGUAAGAAUUUGAUCCUUAUUCAUGUAGAUAAAUAAAAAAAUUAGAUGCAACCUGGGCUAUCCGAAGAGAAACAAUUUUUCUUCCUUCAACUCUUCACAAGGAUUGCUUUCAC
rnacentral:lncRNA from 1 species